rnacentral:rRNA from 1 species
AAUCAACGACUGGCGGCGCGGCUUAACACAUGCAAGUCGCACGAGAAAGUGGAGCAAUCCAUGAGACAGUGGCUACGGGUGAGUAACACGUGGAUCAUCUACCUUUAGUGGGGAAUACCCCCGGGAAACUCGGGGAUAAUACCGCAUAAUCUCGUGAGAGGAAAGCAGCAAUGCGCUGAAAGAGGAGUCCGCGGCUGAUUAGCUAGUUGGUGAGGUAAUGGCUCACCAAGGCGAAGAUCGGUAGCCGGCCUGAGAGGGCACACGGCCACACUGGCACUGAAACACGGGCCAGACUCCUACGGGAGGCAGCAGUGGGGAAUCUUGCACAAUGGAGGAAACUCUGAUGCAGCGACGCCGCGUGAGCGAUGAACGCCCGUUCGGGGUGUAAAGCUCUUUUCGACGGGAACGAUAAUGACGGUACCCGAAGAAGAAGCUGCGGCUAACUACGUG